rnacentral:lncRNA from 1 species
CUGUCUUUUUUGUUGUGUUUUUCUUGUACCGUUUAAAUUCUAUUUCCCUCUACUAGAUCCAAUAGCAGUGCUCCUGCUUCUCCCCGUGAAAAAAAUAUCGUGUUUGUCGCGUGAUGAAGUUUCAAAGAACUUACCAUCCUUAUAUUUUGGUACUCCUAUAUUUUUUUGUUCGGGUCUAGAUUUUGUUUUAUUCAAGUUGACAAACAUGAUGAGAAAAAUAUUAUUUGCACUGAAACUUUUUAGUGCAUGUAUUUUGACUAACUUUUAUUUUGCCUUUCUUUUUCUUUCAGCCUAUAACCAUUUUCAAAUUAUUUUGUUAUAGUUGAUUUAUUUUGUAGUUGUUCCAAGAAACAUCGGAAAAGGUUAACCAAAGAAUAAAUAUUGUCCUAUGGACUUUGUUUUGUUCGUCAUGCAUAAAUAAAUGUUUUGUGAUCAGUAACGAUUUCUUUUGGUGUAUAGGAAUGUUUUUUGUUGGGACCCAUUUUUUUUGUUGGAUCAUUUACACCUCUAAAAAUCACGUGGCAAACGGGCUGAGCUAUCUCCUAGACACAUUAUCAAGAUAAACACCUCUAAAAUGACCAUGCAUGCAUAAAUCAAGUCAAACAUAGAAACUCCUCUUAAAAUAACCAUUCAUAAGUCGAGUCAAAUAUAGACACCACUAAUGAAUUACCAUUCUGCUAUAACUUAUUAUUCUUGGUAUGAAACACCACACGAUCUUUCUACCCAGCUUCCGGUCUUUUUUUUUUCUUUCAAGAAUGCAGCUUCCGGUCUUAUCGCGGAAAGAAAACUCCGGUGAUAUUUCAACGUACGUGGUUCCUUAACAAGUACGGAAAAAGAUCACAACUUUGGGACGAUAAUAAUGAGUUGCAGUACACAGCUUACUUGUCUUUCUGAACUUUACUAUAAGCAGCUGGAUUUCCUUUCACCGGUUAAUACAUACGCGUCCUAUUUAUGGCCCGUAUAUCUUCACGUACGCGCUCACGCAGUCCACAACUAAAGGCAAG